rnacentral:sRNA from 1 species
CCUCUCAAAGAUCAUGAUCAUAUAUACUAGGAGAAGGUGUUAGAAGGAGUUAGAUUGUUUAGGUUUUGAGUUAUUUUUCUAAGCUAAUAAGAGAGUUAUUUUUAUAAUUAAAAAAGAAUAAAAAUUUAAUGGGCUUAUUCAAACUCCUAUUUAGUAUGAUAUUGUCCUCUUUGGGCUUAUAUGCUCAAGCCCGUAAGGAUUUGUUAUUGAGUUUCUUUCCAAAAGGCCUCAUACUAGUUGCAGUUGGACUUGACUUAUAUAUUAGAAACUCUUUUUCUAAACUUCCGAUGUGGGACUUUUGGUUUGUACCCAACAAUCUCCCCUUCAAACCAAAGACCACGAACUUGGGCCUCCUGGCUCUGAUACCAUUUAAUGGGCUAUCUAAGAACAUUCCAACUCCCAUUUAUAUUGUCUUCUUUGGACUUAUAUGCUCAAGCCCGCAAAGAUUUGUUAUUGGGUUCCUUCCCAAAAGGCCUCAUAUUAGUUGGAGUUGGACUUGACUUAUAUAUUAGAAACUCUUUUUCUAAACUUCCGAUGUGGGACUUUUGGUUUGUACCUAACAAAGAUGUAUUGAGAGAAAAAAAAAAUGUAUUGACAGAGAAAAUUUCUAAUGUUUUUACAAGUUCCUAUGGUCAACGACCAGUUAACGUUGUCGUAUGUUUAAUAGUGACUUUCCAGUCACCCAAACUCUCCUCGACGACUAAUUCUAAUCUCAUAAGUCAUAAGCAUGAACUUUAAAUCAAAGGCUUGCCAAGCUUGAGGUCUGUGUAUGUAAUGUAACUAGAGACAGACACAUUCUCAAUAGCAAAGAUAACCUUUU